rnacentral:lncRNA from 1 species
UAUGUUAUAUGCGGCGUUAUACCGCUUUUCUUUCUCAUUAUUGUUAUUGCGACAGUUUCGAGCUAGUGGGCUAUGCUACCUUAUAAGCCGUACUGCGCAGCAGGUUGUAAACAAGUGGUGUAUAGUAUAAUAACGCUUUCUAUUAUCCGUGCGAAAGCUGUGAAUAACCGAAUGGUCAUGAUGAUGUUUAUUAAAACGAGAGUUUUUUUAUGGCUUUAUACACAUUUAUGUUUGUAUACUAAAAUAUUGUUUUCGUUCUCUUCAGUUUGAUUAUUUCGUAGAUAAUAUAUUUGUCUUUUAUUACGUAACGAUAACUGCAGUCGCUAACUGGAAAACGACGUCGCGGGUUAUUUAUUUAUAAUAUACUAUAAGAUACGCGCGGCAACACUAAUUGUAGGUAGUUAUACUUUAUCGAAAUCGUACACUCAAGUUUCACGAGUCACUAAGUAUUAUGAGUGGAAUUUGUAUUGCGUACAUUAAUCGUCUUUUCGCUGCUGUAUAUAACGAGGGCUACUGCAGCUGUCAUAAAUUUGUCAAACAUCGCAUUGAAGGCCGGCAAAUAAACAGUCGGCGCGAACAAACACAAGUCCAGCAAGUUCGCGUGUGCAAUAAUGCUCGCCCUUCUUGCCAACGGCCACGAGAGCGUGUGUUGUGCGAUAAAAUUCACGACGCGAUUAUUCACAAACACGAUGUGUAGUCCAAGUACUAGGAUGUGGCUCUGGAAGCUUUAGGUAGAUUCGUUUAGUCGUAAAUAUCGAUCUGUCGCUCUGUUGUGAUCUUCUACAUUACAAUGUCUGAGCUCGGAUAUCUAAUUUGCAAAGCGUGUACCCAUAUGCUAAACUUUUGAUUGUAAACGAAAACUGAGCAGACCAUAUAAUUAAAUAAUCCAAUAAAUCAUCUUUUCUAAAAACGACUUUGGAGAGGAAGUUCGUUUUAUUAAUUCCGCGCGCAACUCUGUAUAACCGCUACUUUAUAAGUAUGUGUAAGCUCUCGAAAAAGCAGCCUUGCUAAUUUUAGCCGAAAUCGCUCUCGCGUGCGAGCCUUAUUACUCCGCACGCAAUGACACUUCUUGCGGUCGGGCUAUACUACUGCGCCUAUAUCGUGAAUUUAUUAGACUUGUUAAUUUCGUCUAGACGAAUUGAAUCAAUCUCAAUAAUUGCAAAUUGUAUCCGAAUUAGAGCACGUGAUUAUAUUUUUAGCAGGAAUCAUCAAAAGCUUUUAAUUACGCGGCUCGGUUGUAUUGGCAGUUGGUGCUAAUGCUAAUUAGGUAUAUUUAUAUAUAAACUUAACACUGUAAACCGGUUAAUAUAUAUUUUUCCCUACAUUUUCACUAGAACUAAUAGCGAAUGGUUCGCAAACACGUCGGCUGCAUUUUCAUUAUCACAUGCGCACGCGGCUCAUGCGUCACACACCCGCAUAUAUAAGCCAAGUAUACGCGAGAGAUUGUUAAAAAAAAAACAAUAGAUCGCACUUUGGCCGGUAUCCUAAGCGCUUAUUGACAGGUUUAAAGAUAGUCGACGUAGCUGGCAUCGCUCUAGUUAUUCUCCUAAAAAUCCGUAUAAUUAGCCCUAUACAGUCGUAUUCUCUAUACUGCCAAACCAAAAUGACGUAUAGGUACACAUUGAUUAUACAAUCGGCGAUCGAAACGUGUUCUACUGUCACCGGGACACGUCGUCGUCGUCGUCGAUGCAGUCGCUUAUACCUAUAUAUACUUUGUCGCGCGGAUGCGCUGAUUAAUCACGUUCGGCCGCUAACCGACUGACGCUAAGUGGCUCGUGAUUGAGUGAUCCGCGAGAUGACUGGGAUAGGUAUCAUUCCAGUUACGCUGUGGAGAUGUCUGCGUAAGAGUAGAUUGACACUUGAUAGAAUUUUAAUGAAAUUAUAGAAGAGAAUUUUUUUUAAAUUAGCUUUGUUAUAAUACUCAAAACAUUGACACGAUGAUUUUGGCAUGACGAGUGUAGCUGUACCGUAAUCUCGGUUUAUGCUUGCAAGCUUAUGUUGUAAAUCGACGCUGCGAAGUUUCAGCUUAAUUUUUUCAUAAUAAGAUGCAGCUUUUAGUUUCUUAGAAUGAUAAAAAUCACCGAUUACAAAAGUGUCAUCACAAUAAUACGUCGAUUGAUCCAAAGAGCAUAUUCGUAUGCAUAUAGUUCUAAAAA